rnacentral:ncRNA from 1 species
AAGGUUCUUCUACGAAGAUGAAAAGGGAACCCCGUGAGAAUCAGGGACUAUGCCCGUAGCUGUGAGCUUCAGAAGACGCCCGACACACCCUCUGCCACUGUCCAACCCAUACGGACGGGAAGGCUGCUUGGGCGGAAGCGAGCCAGAAGACCUGCCUUGGAACG